rnacentral:rRNA from 1 species
GUGAACGCUGGCGGUAGGCCUAACACAUGCCGGUCGAACGGCAGCACCGUAAGAGCUUGCUCUUACGGGUGGCGAGUGGCGGACGGGUGAGGAAUACAUCGGAAUCUACUUUUUCGUGGGGGAUAACGUAGGGAAACUUACGCUAAUACCGCAUACGACCUACGGGUGAAAGCAGGGGAUCUUCGGACCUUGCGCGAUUGAAUGAGCCGAUGUCGGAUUAGCUAGUUGGCGGGGUAAAGGCCCACCAAGGCGACGAUCCGUAGCUGGUCUGAGAGGAUGAUCAGCCACACUGGAACUGAGACACGGUCCAGACUCCUACGGGAGGCAGCAGUGGGGAAUAUUGGACAAUGGGCGCAAGCCUGAUCCAGCCAUACCGCGUGGGUGAAGAAGGCCUUCGGGUUGUAAAGCCCUUUUGUUGGGAAAGAAAAGCAGCAGGUUAAUACCCCGCUGUUCUGACGGUACCCAAAGAAUAAGCACCGGCUAACUUCGUG